AUAUAAUAAUUCAAAUCAGGGGGCACGGAAGUGCCCCCGCCAAGACGAGCCAAUCUAAAGGACUGGGCGCUACGUACCUUUUCUGGAAGCAUUUCGUCGUAUUUUCGAACUGUCAUAGCUCUGGUCUGGAUGACGCUAGGAAGCUGAAAUUUUCAGGAUAAGGUGUCCUCAGCAAACUUAUUAAACACAUUAGUAUCAAUUAUCUAGCUUUUAUGGUUUCAGAUUUAUUGAUACCUGAAAUAAGUCGAUUUCGUGACUAAUAAAAUGAUCAUCAUAAUUCAAAAUUUCUAAUCAAAAAUUGUAGG